rnacentral:rRNA from 1 species
AUUGAACGCUGGCGGCAGGCCUAACACAUGCAAGUCGAGCGGAGCGGCGGACGGGUGAGUAAUGCCUAGGAAUCUGCCUGGUAGUGGGGGAUAACGUCCGGAAACGGGCGCUAAUACCGCAUACUAUCAGAUGAGCCUAGGUCGGAUUAGCUAGUUGGUGGGGUAAAGGCCUACCAAGGCGAUGAUCCGUAACUGGUCUGAGAGGAUGAUCAGUCAAACUGGAACUGGACAACGGUCCAGAGUCCUACGGGGGGCAGCAGGGGGGAAUAUUGGAAAAUGGGCGAAAGCCUAAUCCAACCAUGCCGGGUGGGUGAAGAAGGUUUUCGGAUUGUAAAGCACUUUAAGUUGGGAGGCGUUACCAACAGAAUAAGCACCGGCUAACUUCGUGCCAGCAGCCGCGGUAAUUC